ACAACCUUGAACUCCUGAUCUUCCUGCUUGCUUCCUCCUCCCCCGUGCUGGGAUUCCAGGCCUGUGCUUUUUGUGCCCUUCACUGGUGUUCGUGUGUCUGGCAAAGCCGCUGCCUCUGCCAUCCUUACGGAGUGACGUUCAUAGAGAGUAAGGCUUUUUCUGCCGGUAAUGCGUGCUUUGGCUUGACAGGCUGUGCUGACUCCGACUCGAGACUUCGGCAUCAGGCUGAGCUGAGAACAGGCUGUUCAAUUGCUUCCUGAGACUGCAGAUUUGUAAUGCUGCCCGCCUGUUUUCCAGGAGCCUUGGUGAACCAAGCCAGUUACAGAAGGCCACUUGGCUGUUUCCUGGGACUGUGGGUGGGUGAGGAGGCCACCAUCUGCUUCCUAGGACCUCAGUUGCUCAACCUGCUUAGGGGACACUGCCAGGCUGUUUCCUGGGACGGGGAGGGGGGUGGGUGGGUAGCUGAGGCUGCCUGGCUGUUUUGCAGGACCGGAUUGUUCCUUCACAAUCCAGUUGCUUAGGGGUUCCAAAGCGCCAGCACAAAGCAGGAGCCUACAAGUGGGAAGGGAAACAUAGGCCAUGUUUUUUCAGGACUAUGCUGAGGCUGGGAAUCCAGGAACUCAGAGCUUGUAAGCACUGCAAACCUGAGCAACAAAUGCUAUUCCUUGGAUGGAUGGGAAUUGUUGAGUCUCCUGCUUGUCUACCCUUCUCCUAUACCCCAGGCAGGGUCUCUAGCCCAAGCCAGUCUUGAGCUCCUUUUGUAGCUGGGAAUGGCUGUGAACUCCUGGUCCUCCUGCUCCCACUUCUUAGUGCUGGGAUUACGGGUGUGCAACACCAUGCCUAUUCCAUAAGGUGGUGGGAACCAAACCCAGGGCCUUGUGCACACUAGGCAAGAAUUCUAUCAACUCAGUCACAGCCCCAACCCUUCUUAUCUUUGCUAUAGGGAGUGAAAUCCCUCACACUCCAGGACUGAUCUUGAAAGACCGUGGGAAAUGCCGUGUGCUUAGUGCCCUUCUUUACAAGGUCAGCGUGCUCCUCCACACCGCACAAAGCACAUACAGCUUCAGCCUCAAAUCUUCAGCUGAGGGACAUAGUCUAGACACCUGUAGUAGGCAUUGUGCUCUCAACCUCCAGUAGGGGGUGCCAGCUGAAUUAGUCUCUUUCUUGGGUUAUUUUAUAGGUGACUUGAUAUCUGGGGGUGGAAUAGGGAAACAGAAACAUGAGAUUAAGAAAAUGUACACCAAGGACUGAAAACAUGACAAGCUACAAUGACAUCUGCUCUUUGUCUAUGAAUCUGUGCUCUUCAACAACUGGUCUAAGCCAUAAACCAAUGAGGACAGGAGCAGCCUGUCUUCCCAUUGGUUUAAAUUCGCACCAUCUUGUUGGACACUGGUGGCACACAUCUUUAAUCCCAGCACUCUGAAGGCAGAGGCAGGUGGAUCCCUAGAGAGCAAGUUCCAGGACAGCCAGGGUUACACAGAGAAACCACAUCUGGAAAAAAUAAACAAACAAAUAACAACAAAAAUCCUCAACAUUUCCCCUCUGGAGUGCUGAGCGAGCCCUGCCUGACAGGUUAUUUCCAGAAUAGUUGGUGUCACUGGUCUGAGUAGAGAGGUGAAGCCGAGUGCCGCUUUCUAAUAGGGUUUUCUCUAGCUUCUCUAAGUCAUUGUCAAAAAGUUUAAAUUAAUCUACUUAUUUCUUGCAACAGGGUUUCACAUAAUCCCAGCCUAGCUUUGAACCCUUGAACCUCUGGUCUCCUGGCUUAUGCAGUGGAUAGAACUCGGGGCUUCAUGCAUGCUGGGCGAACAUCUGUCAAGUCAGCUGCAUCCCAAACCCGUUCUCACAUUUUACAGAGCUAGCUGCAGCGAGUUUCUACUCAAGUGCUUCCUACUAGGGCCAGUGCUAUGUCAGUGGGUAGAAGUGUCUGCUGCCAAGUCUGACAGCCUGAGUUUGAUGCUCGGGACCCACGUGAUGAGAGCUGUCCUCCGGCCUUUACAUGUGCAGUGCGAUGUGAUCACCGCCCCCAAAUAAUAAUCAUUUUUAAACAUUUUAAAUGAUUCUUACUAGUACAACAUCUGGUCCAGAUUUUUUCAGGUACUGGCUUAGAACUCAUACCCCCAUGCAUGCUAGGCGACACAACCAGGAGGCACGUCCAGAAUUUCCUCAGACACAUACUUUUCAGCGACAUAACCAUGACCAGAGUCCAGUGUCCUGUUCGCCCUUUGGUGAACAUUUUUCCAUGUAAUUCAAGAUAGAAAAAUACUGGAUGAAUGAAUGACUGCAUGGACCUCGGCUUGUCCACAGCUUCUCGUCUAAUGGACUCCAUGCCCUGAAGAGAGACGCUCAGCCGCCUCUUGCGAUCUGAAGCAAUGACGGGCAGUUUGUGUCACAUGUGCACAAUCUAGAUGCCUGCUGGCGCCUCCUCUCCUUCUGCCUCUCUCCUGCUAGGCCGGGCCUCAGUGCCAGGACAGAGGCCCAGUCCUCUUGCCUUAGUGUAACCAGAUUCUGAAGGCCAUUUCGGGUCCAGGCCCUGCGACAUCCUGUCUUCAUCACUUCCUAAGAGCUCUCUAUUUUAAACCUCCCACAAGCGACUCCGCCUCAGAGCCUUCUUCCCUGGGAAUUGAGCCUUUUCACUUUUCUGUUGCAAAAAUAAAAGAUGAAAGCAGGGAAAUCUG